UCGAACUCACAGAGCUCCACUUGUCUUUGCCCCCGAGUGCUAGGAUUAAAGGUGUGCAGCAUCACUGCCCAGCUGGUCAUUAUCUUCAAUUUAUGCUUUGCCUUUUUGAAAGUUUGGUCUGAGUCUGAAGUGUAUGGUGAUAGGGGUGUGUGUGUGUGUGUGUGUGUGUGUGUGUGUGUGUGUGUGUGUGUGUGUCACAUGUACACCUGUGGUAGGUAGCAGGCAAGGAGAGACAAGUGAGUCUUCAAUGUGGAGGAAAUGCUGAGCAGACCUUACAGGCCCCUGCCUCACAAACCAAGCAGAGGUGUGAGUCUUUCCUGCUGUCACCAUUUUCUUUUCACUCUCAGUCUCAACUGGAGGUGGCUCUGCUGGUCUGAACCGGGCGUUGUCCGUCCAUGAAUUACUUUCCUGAAAAUAAUAUCCUCCAGUGAGUUGCACUUAAACAGCCAACCAAAUGAUGACUUUUCAUUUGCAACUUUGCACUGGAAGUGGAGCCACGUGGAAGGGAACUCAAACCCCACUACAGUGGAGUGAUUGAUAGGCAGCAAUUUCCCAGAGCACUUCUCUUCUCUCAAAGGUUGUCAAAAAGCACAGUUCCUGGAGACUCUUCCAGCCAACACAUUUCUAAUGCAUCCUGUUCUGAGCCCCAGACCCUCCCCACACUGGAAGCUUCAAGUUCUUUUAAAUAUCCCUUUGAGCCACCAGGCAGGCAGUUAGCUUGAUUUUUUUUUUUUUUGUUUGGGAGGUUCAACACAGGUCACUUUCUGCCCUUGGAGAAUUGAAAAAAAAAAAAAGAAAGAAAGAAAACCACAAAACCCAUGUAGCAAUUAUGGGACUUCAGUUUCAAUAGAAAAGUAUCCUUUUCUAGUGAAACCAUUUUUUUUAAUUUACAUUUAAUUUCCUGAUCUGUGGUAUCUCUAAAUACCUGUGACAUUUGGCCCAUACAGAUAUAUUCUAGCAAGAGUUCAUCUUAUUGUAAGCUAUUUGCUGAAUAGCGAGGGGUAGCUGAUAGAAGAGAAAUUUUAAAUGUCUCUUGGUUGGUGUGACCAGUCAAACCUUUCCAUUGACAGGGCGGGGGAAAGGCUAAUGCAUUUCAAUUUUUUAAUUAAAAGUAAGACUGAUUUUUUUUUUAAAUCAUUGUUUGACCUCUAGCUCGUCUCUUUAGUUUUAUUUGUUAUUUCUAGUGGGAAUCUAAUGUUUAAAAAUGAAAUGGAACAGUACUAGUUUUCACAAUUGGAGAGGAGAGUUUGAGCUUUUGAAAUAUGUUCUCAAAUAGAAAAUUCUGUUCUCAAACUUACUUUUAGAGCCACUUUGCAUAAAAUCUUUCUUUCUAUCAUUGGUCUCAGCGGGGCAUGCGUUUGUUUGUUGGUCAUGUAACCAUUUCUUCAGAGAGGCAUGGUCAGCCAGGGAAGUUGUGGGUCCCUGUGGUAAAAGGACUGUGCUUCCUUCUGGUCACUCUCAUCCCUGUGUGUGUGUGUGUGUGUGUGUGUGUGCGUGUGUGUUUUGUGUCUGUGUCUGUGUGUCUGUCUGUGUGUAGGCUCUACAUUGCAGGAGAGGGGGUGGAAGGCACCUUCCCUGUACUUAGGAAACAUUUAUUUCAGAGAAGAGUCUACUUGCAGAAUGAGCCGCAUGGACGUUCCUGCUUAAUCUGAUGCUCUUAUACAAUUAACGGAUUUGCUGGGCGCUCGGCUGUAGUCUUAGCCCUGCUGAUUGUGUGCGGACACUGCAGGAAACGGCUCCGUUCCACAGAGCAAGACCACAAUGGAGCCCCGUGUGCACUGGUACAUGGACAAUUAAGUUUUAACAACAAAAUUAGCCGAACAACUGGAUGCUCUGGAAGCUGAGAUCCCCCAACUUGGUCUUUUUUUUCUUCCCCCCACCAGGAGUUAUCCUGUGUACUGCUGGAAAGCUCAGCAGCCAGUAUUGUCUCAGUGUUCCGAGGGGCUGUACAGACAGCAACUUCUUCCAGAUUAAUUGUUCAGGAUGUAUUACACCUAGUGAAAAAAUGACUGGUAAAAUACCGUUGAGUAAAUCUCAAAAUUACUGUGAAAAGUGCUGCUGAGUAAUUCUCCAUUCUCUCAAAGAAUUAAUUGCCUCUUAAUGUUUGCUUCCAGUUACAAGGGCUGAUUUUACAGGACUUUGUCUAAAAUGUAUCAUUUCUGCAAAUUGCCUUUGGUACUUUGUAGGUUUUUAAAAACUGUUUCUUAACAGUGUUUAUGUUUCCUUUUAUUUGUGCUUCAUGGGGAAGAGUGAAGUUUUUUGUUUUGUUCUGUUUUGAUUGAAAGAAAAGUAACUUACAAGAUUGGAAAAGCAAUUUCAGAGCCUGGGAUAAACCCACACAUUUCACCGAGAAUAUACUUUAUCAUGUCAUGGAAGUAUAUGACGGGAUAAGGCAACAGACAGAAUUCCUUGUGACUCCUGCUUUAAAGGAUGCUGAGAGCAGUUCCUGGAAAUGUCUAACCCCAGCUGAUGAAGACAGCUUUUGCUAGGAGUUGUUAACCAUGCUUCGCCUGCAGAUUCAUGAGCACGAAAACAGUAGUUCACAGGAGCAACCAAGGUUGGUAUGGACUGAUGGUAGUUGCUCACUCCAAAUGGCAGAAUGAGAUACACACUUGUGCAUGCUUCCAGCAGACUGGCUGGCUGACAGCAAUGGGCUCACAAGCAAGCUGGCGAAGCUAACUGGACUUGACCUGCAGACUUGCACGGCUUUGACCCAAACCUAAGCUAAGCAGCAGCUUUACCCCUGGAAUCCUCUACUUGUUUGUUUCCAGUUUCUAGUUGGCUAUGAGAGAAAUGUGUGUGAGUAUAUGAGGCCGAAGUGAGAUAAUAAUCUUUUAAAAACAUUUUUUUUUUAAACCCCAAGAAGGUUCAUGUAUAGCAGGCUCUGGGAUAGCUUAUGUAGGGCAUAAUGUGCUAACUCACCUAGCUGGCAUGUGGCAGUGGCUGGCCUGUGGAUCCAUUCUGCAGUUCCUCUCAGCUUCUCCAGCUUGCCCACCUCCCGGCUCUGAUGCAUGUGCAGUUCUAAGCUAUAGGGCUCAGCUUGUCUUGCAGGGCUGGUGCAUCAGCCUCAUUGGCCUUUGUUAGAGAAAGUUGCAUUUCUAGUUUGUCUUUGAUCUCUGCCAAUUUACAGCUGUCUUGCCUUUUAGUUGCCAGGACACCUAACUUCAUGCGUAGAGAUGGCAGACUCCCACAGACUAUACCUAAUAGUGUCCUCUGCUGCCCAGGGUCUAAUUACUUAUCAGUGGCUUUGCUUUUGUGAUAAUGAACUAUAAGAUGUUGUCUGGACCAGAGAAAUUCAGAACAGGUACUACCAAGGAUAUGGUACCCCAACCCAUCUCUAGGACACAGUAGCAGGUGUUUUGAGAAAUGUCUCAUUGGCUAAGGUAGAAGGACAAUGCCAUCAUGGUCUCUGUUCUCUCUGUUCCUGGAGGAUCUCCUUCCUUCCACUACUCCCAAGGAAGACAAUGCUAUGUGGUAGUCUGCUACGUAGUGUGAUGGCCAAGCCAUGUCUUUGAUAUGGCCUGACAGCUAGAGAAUGACUCUCAAGCAUUUGGAUGGAGCUCAUGAUGAUAAGUGUGGUCUUUUGGGUUCAGGCUUUUGUGCCUUGUGAACAGGUCAUGCAGGCCACCUUCCAUAACAGAUGGUUUGUUCUGUUUCCGUGUAUAGAAGAGACCUCUAGGUCCACUCUUACCAAAGCUUUCGAUCUGGGUCUUCUCUACUUAUUAUUUAUUUGUUUACUCUACACAUGAUUUGCAAUAGGUGCUGGGGAUAGAAUCUUAGACAAAACUAAACAGUCCCUGUCCCAUAUGUCAUCAGAGAGACAAAUAAGUAACAUCUAAUUAACUAUGGUAACUCCCGAAAGGGAGAAGCACCACCUGCAAGAGGUCAGGGCAGUGGAAACUGGCGCUGACAGGCAGAGCAGUGAGCAGAUGCUAAGCAGUAGCUCUCCAUCAUACAUUAAGUGGGCCUGUAGUGUCCUGGCUCAUGGUUCUCUGGAAUGAAGAAGUCUUUUCUUGGAAUUGGCCAGGAGGACCAGAAUAGUCUUGAGAACAUUAGUGCUGCCACAUUCCCUCUAGGCAAGCUCUGCAGCCCAGAACCUGCCCAGAGCAGGUGCUGACCAUUGCUUCUGAGAGGACUCAGGGCCCACAGCCUGACACAUGGCAAGAGUAUGUUUGAGGGACACCUCUGUUCCCAUGAGGAAAUGUCACCUGUGUGGCAAGAAAAACAGUAGCUUCUUGCAUCAGAAGGGAAGCAACUUCUGAGGGAAAGGAAACGGCUUCUAAAAUUCUGUAAGAAACUUCUCAAGAACCACGUUCUCCUGAUCACAGAAGUUUCUGGUCACGCAGUGUUGGAGCUGAUUCCUUGAGCUCUCCCAUCAGCCCUUUUCUCCGCCCACCUCCUGAGGCCAGGACUCCCUCCUGGGUGGUAAUGGCUGUGGUGGGCACAGCUGGCUGGCACUCUCAUCUGUCUGUCCAUCACUGAGCCAGGGUGAUCCCCAGCCCUCUCCAUGCAGCCUCUUCACAGCUAAGCUGCAAACAGCUGUGCUGGGGGCCAGAGGGGUGGGGGGGCUGGCUUGGUGCCUUCAAGGGAGGUAGGACAGAGCUGGCGUGGGCAGUGUUUGGGAACACACCGUGGAGCUGUGUAUUUCCCGAGAGGAGGAUGCGAUUACACAGGUAGGUGCAGUUGGCUUUUGACUACUUCCGUAGUUAAUCGCUCUGACUUUUCCUGCCUUCUCUUUCUUGGCCUUCUGCUCCUGUGAUGUAAUCUGAUAGCUGCUGCUUCCUUUUUUUUUUUUUUUUUAAAGCCUUGCAUCUCAAAGACUACCAUGCUAUGCAUGUUGGUUAGACUUUGAACUUUUUUUGUUGUUAUUUUCCUGAACCCAGGAAUAUGAAAGUCAAAUGUUUUCUCUGUUUAGUUAUUUUUCUGUUUAACUCUCUUCUUAUAGGCCUCCAGUAAAGGUGGAUACAGGAGAAAAUGUGUGGGCAGUGAAAAGCAAGCUGAGCCAGUUGUAGUUUUAGAUCCUGUUUCCACACAUGGACCCCAAACCAAAGACCAGGCUGCUGAAAAAGACCCAACUGAGUGCCAGGAGGAAGGAGGUGAAAUGCAGCCGGAACACAAAGAAGACGGCGGUGGGAAAACGGCCGAGAUGGACAGUUCCCACUGCUGACCCGAAACCAGGGGCGGCGUGUUUCCGAGUCCUGGGCAGCGUGUUUCUGAGUCCUUGUCAGUGAGCACACGGCUCAUCCCGGUGUGCUGGCAAGGGCUGCUGGACAUUCCUUCGCUCUGGCCACACACUGCUUUGCUGGUAUCACUUUGUAAGUAGCGAUUAUAAACAUAAGUAAGCUGUUUAGCAAACUGCAUCUUCUGGGUAGUUUUUGUUCUUUAUAGGGUAAGGGUCCUUUCUAUAUGACGUAUGACUUCAUAUGGCAGGAAACUCAUAUGUUCAUGUCUUUGUAGGGAAUGUGCAUACUACUCUUCAAAUUUAGGCAUGUUGAAAUUCAAGGUGGUUGCCAAUAAUUGGAUAAACAGAGACCGCUGAACUUAAAAAUGAUCUUAAAAAUGCACCCUUUUAUCCAAGCCUUCUAUGUGCAGCCCUAGCACCAGGGAGACUGAGGCAGGAGGAUCGCUUGAGCCUGGACUUCAGUUUGGGUCACAUUGUAAGACUCCAUCUAAAGAAAUGAAGUUGCCAAAGGAGCCUCUGUUUGGGUCUGGUCUUUGGAUGGGGAAACUGAAGCAGCCUGGAAGUCAGUGGCUCCAGCAGCACCUCCAUUUUGUAGGGGGCGCUGAGACCAUCCGUAGUAGAGCUCUAGAGGUGGCAUGAAGCUCCAAGGUCUCUUAGGUCUGAGUUGAUUACAGUUAACUGCUUUGCUGGAAAACAUGACCCCAUGUCCAAGGCUUGCCAAGGCGUCAGGGGUUAAUGUUCCAGUUGCAAGACAGAGAGCUCAAAUGGAAGUCCAAACCUUGAAUUUAAAAGGAAUACCUUGGUAAACCAUACUUUCUGUUCCCCAAGUUAUCUGUGUUUUCCCAUACACUCUCAUAGCACAAAUAACAUAUGUCACUCCAGUUUUUAUGCACAGUGAAGUGACAAGCACAUAUUUUUUUUCUUCACUGCCGUUCAAUAUUACAUGGGCCUUUUGUUUUGUUUUGUUUUUAGAGGAAAUUAAGUGGUAGUUUCUAAAAAUACAAUGUUUCAGACUACCACAGUGAAUAAAUAGAAAUGUAAUCAAGGAUUUAAAAGAAAAAAAACUUAUGCAGGUUUUCAAAGUUGAUUGUUUCAAAUUGGUGUUUAUUUAAAAUAAGUGGUAAUGUACUUGAAUGCACUUUUUAUGAUAAUGAUUCAGUAAUGGUAAUUUUACUACUAAAGAAAGUGAAAGGCUUAGUUUUGUUAGCAUGACUCAGCAUGUAGCUGUCAGGUGGUUCGCACCUGAGGGCAAAAGAAAAGAUAGUAACAAUUGCGGUGGUUGUGUCCAAUUGUAUUUCUGCACGUGUGCUGCUAGCGUAGGCUUGAGGCAGUGGGGAGGCAGGUGAGAACACUCCUGAUUUGGAGACAAUUCUCUUCAUGUAGGUUCAUUAGGCCUGACUGUUCCCGUGUUCCUUCAGUGCUGAUUUUACCGCUCCCUGUCAGUUUACUCAUGGGGAAUUAAAACGUGAUUUUUUUUUUGACUGUGUGUUCCCAUAACUGAAUGAUAUGCUACCUGCAAGUGGUUAAUUUGUUGAGAUGGGUUCUGUUAUGCUGUGAUGUGAACUCUUCUCAAACACAACACAUUAAAGGAGACACACAACAGCUUCUCA